rnacentral:tRNA from 1 species
UGGCCAGAUAGCUCAGUCGGUAGAGCACUUGUCUGAAAAACAAGGGGUCGCAAGUUCGAUUCUGCCUCUCCGGC